GACGAACGCUGGCGGCGUGCUUAACACAUGCAAGUCGAACGGAAAGGCCCUGCUUUUGUGGGGUGCUCGAGUGGCGAACGGGUGAGUAACACGUGAGUAACCUGCCCUUGACUUUGGGAUAACUUCAGGAAACUGGGGCUAAUACCGGAUAGGAGCUCCUGCUGCAUGGUGGGGGUUGGAAAGUUUCGGCGGUUGGGGAUGGACUCGCGGCUUAUCAGCUUGUUGGUGGGGUAGUGGCUUACCAAGGCUUUGACGGGUAGCCGGCCUGAGAGGGUGACCGGCCACAUUGGGACUGAGAUACGGCCCAGACUCCUACGGGAGGCAGCAGUGGGGAAUAUUGCACAAUGGGCGGAAGCCUGAUGCAGCAACGCCGCGUGCGGGAGGACGGCCUUCGGGUUGGAAACCGCUUUCGCCUGUGACGAAGCGUGAGUGACGGUAAUGGGGAAAGAAGCACCGGCUAACUACGU
rnacentral:rRNA from 1 species